rnacentral:tRNA from 1 species
GACUGGAUAGCCAGCUAGUGGUAAAGGCAUCACUCCUAGUAUGCUGAGGUCCCAGGUUCGAAUCCUGGUCUAGUCA